CAAAAUGGGGCAGGGAGGGGUGGAAAUGGUGCAAAAUGGGGCAAGGAGGGGCAGUGAUGGUGCAAAAUGGUGCGAGGAGGGGUGGAAAUGGUGUAAAAUGGUGCAAGGAGGGGCAGCAAUGGUGCAAAAUGGUGCAAGGAGGGGUGGAAAUAGAGCAAAAUUAUGCAAAGCAGGGCAGCAGUAGUGCAAAAUGGGGCAAGGAGGGGUGGAAAUGGUGCAGAAUGGGGCAAGGAGGGGCAGCAAUGGUGCAAAGUGGUGCAAGGAGGGGUGGAAAUGGUGCAAAAUUAUGCAAGGAAGGGCAGCAAUGGUGCAAAAUG